AUUGAACGCUGGCGGCAGGCCUAACACAUGCAAGUCGAACGAGCGGCGGACGGGUGAGUAAUGUCUGGGUAUCUGCCCGAUGGAGGGGGAUAACUACUGGAAACGUUAGCUAAUACCGCAUACUAUCGGAUGAACCCAUAUGGUAUUAGCUAGUGGGUGGGGUAAUGGCUCACCUAGGCGACGAUCCCUAGCUGGUCUGAGAGGAUGAACAGCCACACUGGAACUGAGACAGGGCACAGGAGCCUACGGGAGGCAGCAGGGGGGAAUAUUGCAAAAUGGGGGGAAGCCUGAUGCAGCCAUGCCGCGUGUAUGAAGGAGGCCUUAGGGUUGUAAAGUACUUUAAGUCGGGAGGCGGUACCCGCGGAAGAAGCACCGGCUAACUACGUGCCAGCAGCCGCGGUAAUUC
rnacentral:rRNA from 1 species